GAUGAACGCUGGCGGCGUGCUUAACACAUGCAAGUCGAGCGAAGCAGUUAAAAAGAUUCUUCGGAUGAAACUUGAUUGACUGAGCGGCGGACGGGUGAGUAACGCGGGGGUGACCUGCCCCAUACCGGGGGAUAACAGCUGGAAACGGCUGCUAAUACCGCAUAAGCGCACAGAGCUGCAUGGCUCAGUGUGAAAAACUCCGGUGGUAUGGGAUGGGCCCGCGUCUGAUUAGGCAGUUGGCGGGGUAACGGCCCACCAAACCGACGAUCAGUAGCCGGCCUGAGAGGGCGACCGGCCACAUUGGGACUGAGACACGGCCCAAACUCCUACGGGAGGCAGCAGUGGGGAAUAUUGCACAAUGGGGGAAACCCUGAUGCAGCGCCGCCGCGUGAGUGAAGAAGUAUUUCGGUAUGUAAAGCUCUAUCAGCAGGGAAGAUAAUGACGGCACCUGACUAAGAAGCCCCGGCUAACUACGUG
rnacentral:rRNA from 1 species